rnacentral:rRNA from 1 species
GACGAACGCUGGCGGCGUGCUUAACACAUGCAAGUCGAACGGAAAGGCCCUGCUUUUGUGGGGUGCUCGAGUGGCGAACGGGUGAGUAACACGUGAGUAACCUGCCCUUGACUUUGGGAUAACUUCAGGAAACUGGGGCUAAUACCGGAUAUGAGCUCCUGCUGCAUGGUGGGGGUUGGAAAGUUUCGGCGGUUGGGGAUGGACUCGCGGCUUAUCAGCUUGUUGGUGGGGUAGUGGCUUACCAAGGCUUUGACGGGUAGCCGGCCUGAGAGGGUGACCGGCGACAUUGGGACUGAGAUACGGCCCAGACUCCUACGGGAGGCAGCAGUGGGGAAUAGUGCACAAUGGGCGGAAGCUUGAUGCAGCAACGCCGCGUGCGGGAUGACGGCCUUCGGGUUGUAAACCGCUUUCGCCUGUGACGAAGCGUGAGUGACGGUAAUGGGUAAAGAAGCACCGGCUAACUACGUG